rnacentral:rRNA from 1 species
CCUACGGUGGUCAGCAGUGAGGAAUAUUGGUCAAUGGGCGCGAGCCUUAACCAGCCAAGUAGCGUGAAGGAUGACUGCCCUACGGGUUGUAAACUUCUUUUAUAAAGGAAUAAAGUGAGGCACGUCUGCCUUUUUGUGUGUACUUUAUGAAUAAGGCUCGGCUAACUCCGAUCCAGCAGCCGCGGUAAUACGGAGGGUCCGCGCGUGAUCCGGAUUUCUUGGGUUUAAGGGGAGCGUAGUUGGGUUGUUACGUCAGUUGUGAAAGUUUGCGGCUCAACCGUAAAAUUGCAAUUGAUACUGGCAGACUUGAGUACAGUUGAGGUAGGCGGAAUUCGUGGUGUAGCGGUGAAAUGCUUAGAUAGCACGAAGAACUUCGAUGGCGAAGGCAGCCUACUAAACUGCCACUGACAUUGAUGCUCGAAAGUGUGGGUAUCAAACAGGAUUAGAUACCCUAGUAGUC